rnacentral:lncRNA from 1 species
AAACUGUAAACAGCGAUAAUGUUCAUCAAAGUAAGAUCUACAAAUAAGUCCACAUGACCUAAAUGGUCAAUUGACCCCUUAAGGAGUUAUUGCCUUUAUAGUCAAUUUUUUAACAAUUUUUCAUUAAUUUGGUAUAUUUAUGUAAAUUUUUACCAAAAUAUUUUUCUCUGUUACUAAUGGGCAAAGUUCAUUAUAUAUAAUUGUAAGAAGCAAGAAUGUCAGUAAAGUAAGAACUUCAAACACAUCACCAUCACCAAAAUACAAUUUUGUCAUGAAUCCAUUUGUGUCCUUUGUUUAAUAUGCACAUAGACC